AUGAACGCUAGCUACAGGCUUAACACAUGCAAGUCGAGGGGCAGCACAAGGAGCAAUCUGAGGUGGCGACCGGCGCAUGGGUGAGUAACACGUAUGCAACCUGCCUGUAAGCGGGGAAUAACCCGUUGAAAGACGGACUAAUACCGCAUAAUACUAAAUUACUGCAUGGUAAUUUAUUUAAACAUUUAUGGCUUACAGAUGGGCAUGCGCAUGAUUAGCUAGUUGGAGAGGUAACGGCUCCCCAAGGCAACGAUCAUUAGGGGUUCUGAGAGGAAGGUCCCCCACACUGGUACUGAGACACGGACCAGACUCCUACGGGAGGCAGCAGUGAGGAAUAUUGGUCAAUGGACGAGAGUCUGAACCAGCCAAGUCGCGUGCAGGAAGAAUGUCCCUAUGGAUUGUAAACUGCUUUUGCAGGGGAAUAAAGUGCAUCACAUGUGAUGUUUUGUAUGUACUCUGCGAAUAAGGAUCGGCUAACUCCGUGCCAGCCGCCGC
rnacentral:rRNA from 1 species